UCACGGGACUGAGUUUCCAAACGGGCCAGA
rnacentral:piRNA from 1 species